UACGUAGGGUGCGAGCGUUAAUCGGAAUUACUGGGCGUAAAGUGUGCGCAGGCGGCCGAGCAAGUCGAGUGUGAAAGCCCCGAGCUUAACUUGGGAACUGCGCUCGAAACUACUUGGCUAGAGUGUGGCAGAGGGAGGUGGAAUUCCAGGUGUAGCGGUGAAAUGCGUAGAUAUCUGGAGGAACACCGGUGGCGAAGGCGGCACCCUGGACCGACACUGACGCUGAGGCGCGAAAGCUAGGGGAGCAAACGGG
rnacentral:rRNA from 1 species